UAGGGAAUCUUCGGCAAUGGACGAAAGUCUGACCGAGCAACGCCGCGUGAGUGAAGAAGGUUUUCGGAUCGUAAAACUCUGUUGUUAGAGAAGAACAAGGACGUUAGUAACUGAACGUCCCCUGACGGUAUCUAACCAGAAAGCCACGGCUAACUACGUGCCAGCAGCCGCGGUAAUACGUAGGUGGCAAGCGUUGUCCGGAUUUAUUGGGCGUAAAGCGAGCGCAGGCGGUUUCUUAAGUCUGAUGUGAAAGCCCCCGGCUCAACCGGGGAGGGUCAUUGGAAACUGGGAGACUUGAGUGCAGAAGAGGAGAGUGGAAUUCCAUGUGUAGCGGUGAAAUGCGUAGAUAUAUGGGGGAACACCAGUGGCGAAGGCGGCUCUCUGGUCUGUAACUGACGCUGAGGCUCGAAAGCGUGGGGAGCAAACAGG
rnacentral:rRNA from 2 species